AUUGAACGCUGGCGGCAGGCCUAACACAUGCAAGUCGAACGGUAACAGGAAGAAGCUUGCUUCUUUGCUGACGAGUGGCGGACGGGUGAGUAAUGUCUGGGAAACUGCCUGAUGGAGGGGGAUAACUACUGGAAACGGUAGCUAAUACCGCAUAACGUCGCAAGACCAAAGAGGGGGACCUUCGGGCCUCUUGCCAUCGGAUGUGCCCAGCUGGGAUUAGCUAGUAGGUGGGGUAACGGCUCACCUAGGCGACGAUCCCUAGCUGGUCUGAGAGGAUGACCAGCCACACUGGAACUGAGCCACGGUCCAGACUCCUACGGGAGGCAGCAGUGGGGAAUAUUGCGCAAUGGGCGCAAGCCUGAUGCAGCCAUGCCGCGUGUAUGAAGAAGGCCUUCGGGUUGUAAAGUACUUUCAGCGGGGAGGAAGGGAGUAAAGUUAAUACCUUUGCUCAUUGACGUUACCCGCAGAAGAAGCACCGGCUAACUCCGUG
rnacentral:rRNA from 1 species